rnacentral:snoRNA from 1 species
GAUAGAUGAUGAACUUAUUUAUGGGCAGAUAAAGAUUGUGUGCUGUCGUUCUGAUUU